rfam:Actinomadura madurae strain DSM 43067 genome assembly, contig: Ga0074857_125
GGGGCCUUAGCUCAGUUGGUAGAGCACCGGCUUUGCAAGCCGGGUGUCAGGGGUUCGAAUCCCCUAGGCUCCA